rnacentral:rRNA from 1 species
CCUACGGGAGGCAGCAGUGAGGAAUAUUGGUCAAUGGGCGCGAGCCUGAACCAGCCAAGUCGCGUGAAGGAUGACUGCCCUACGGGUUGUAAACUUCUUUUAUAAAGGAAUAAAGUGAGGCACGUGUGCCUUUUUGUAUGUACUUUAUGAAUAAGGAUCGGCUAACUCCGUGCCAGCAGCCGCGGUAAUACGGAGGAUCCGAGCGUUAUCCGGAUUUAUUGGGUUUAAAGGGAGCGUAGAUGGGUUGUUAAGUUAGUGGUGAAAGUUUGCGGCUCAACCCUGAAAUUGCAACUGAUACUGGCAGACUAGAGAAUAGUUGAGGUAGGCGGAAUGUAUGGUGUAGCGGUGAAAUGCUUAGAUAUCACGCAGAACUCCGAUUGCGAAGGCAGCUUACUAAACU